GGCAAGAUGACCGAGCGGUCUAAGGUGUUCGAUUCAAGACGUUAGUCUUCCUGUACCUCAAUACAGGCAUAUUAUAACUCGAAUCUCGAAAGAGGCGUGGGUUCAAAUCCCACUCUUGUCA